rnacentral:rRNA from 1 species
CCUACGGCGGGCAGCAGUGGGGAAUAUUGGACAAUGGGGGGAACCCUGAUCCAGCCAUGCCGCGUGUGUGAAGAAGGCCCUCGGGUUGUAAAGCACUUUCAGUGAGGAAGAACGCCUGGUGGUUAAUACCCAUCAGGAAAGACAUCACUCACAGAAGAAGCACCGGCUAACUCCGUGCCAGCAGCCGCGGUAAUACGGAGGGUGCGAGCGUUAAUCGGAAUUACUGGGCGUAAAGCGCGCGUAGGUGGCUUGAUAAGCCGGUUGUGAAAGCCCCGGGCUCAACCUGGGAACGGCAUCCGGAACUGUCAAGCUAGAGUGCAGGAGAGGAAGGUAGAAUUCCCGGUGUAGCGGUGAAAUGCGUAGAGAUCGGGAGGAAUACCAGUGGCGAAGGCGGCCUUCUGGACUGACACUGACACUGAGGUGCGAAAGCGUGGGUAGCAAACAGGAUUAGAUACCCUGGUAGUC